rnacentral:rRNA from 1 species
ACGUAGGGGGCAAGCGUUAUCCGGAAUUAUUGGGCGUAAAGAGUGCGUAGGUGGUUUUUUAAGCGUGAGGUGAAAGGCAAUAGCUUAACUAUUGUAAGCCUUGCGAACUGGAAGACUUGAGUGCAGGAGAGGAAAGUGGAAUUCCUAGUGUAGCGGUGAAAGGCGUAGAUAUUAAAAGGAACACCAAUGGCGAAGGCGACUAUCUGGACUGUAACUGCCGCUGAUGCCCGAAAGCGUGGAGAGCAAGCAG